rnacentral:rRNA from 1 species
UAGGUGAACCUGCGGAGGGAUCAUUACAGAGUUGCAAAACUCCCUAAACCAUUGUGAACGUUACCUAAACCGUUGCUUCGGCGGGCGGCGCCGGGGUUUACCCCCCGGGCGCCCCUGGGCCCCACCGCGGGCGCCCGCCGGAGGUCACCAAACUCUUGAUAAUUUAUGGCCUCUCUGAGUCUUCUGUACUGAAUAAGUCAAAACUUUCAACAACGGAUCUCUUGGUUCUGGCAUCGAUGAAGAACGCAGCGAAAUGCGAUAAGUAAUGUGAAUUGCAGAAUUCAGUGAAUCAUCGAAUCUUUGAACGCACAUUGCGCCCGCCAGUAUUCUGGCGGGCAUGCCUGUUCGAGCGUCAUUUCAACCAUCAAGCCCCGGGCUUGUGUUGGGGACCUGCGGCUGCCGCAGGCCCUGAAAAGCAGUGGCGGGCUCGCUGUCACACCGAGCGUAGUAGCAUACAUCUCGCUCUGGGCGUGCUGCGGGUUCCGGCCGUUAAACCACCUUUUAACCCAAGGUUGACCUCGGAUCAGGUAGGAAGACCCGCUGAACUUAAGCAUAUCAAUAAGCGGA